rnacentral:rRNA from 1 species
UAGGUGAACCUGCGGAAGGAUCAUUACCUAGAGUUGUAGGCUUUGCCUACCAUCUCUUACCCAUGUCUUUUGAGUACCUUCGUUUCCUCGGCGGGUCCGCCCGCCGAUUGGACAAACUUAAACCCUUUGUAAUUGAAAUCAGCGUCUGAAAAAACAUAAUAGUUACAACUUUCAACAACGGAUCUCUUGGUUCUGGCAUCGAUGAAGAACGCAGCGAAAUGCGAUAAGUAGUGUGAAUUGCAGAAUUCAGUGAAUCAUCGAAUCUUUGAACGCACAUUGCGCCCCUUGGUAUUCCAUGGGGCAUGCCUGUUCGAGCGUCAUUUGUACCUUCAAGCUCUGCUUGGUGUUGGGUGUUUGUCUCGCCUUUGCGUGUAGACUCGCCUUAAAACAAUUGGCAGCCGGCGUAUUGAUUUCGGAGCGCAGUACAUCUCGCGCUUUGCACUCAUAACGACGACGUCCAAAAAGUACUUUUUACACUCUUGACCUCGGAUCAGGUAGGGAUACCCGCUG